rnacentral:rRNA from 1 species
GACGAACGCUGGCGGCGUGCUUAACACAUGCAAGUCGAACGGUGAAGCGCCUUCCUUUUUGGUGGGUGUGGAUGAGUGGCGAACGGGUGAGUAACACGUGAGUAACCUGCCCCCUUCUUCUGGAUAACCGCAUGAAAGUGUGGCUAAUACGGGAUAUUCUGGGUCUGUCGCAUGAUGGGUCUGGGAAAGAUAUUGUUUCGGUGGGGGAUGGGCUCGCGGCCUAUCAGCUUGUUGGUGGGGUGAUGGCCUACCAAGGCGGUGACGGGUAGCCGGCCUGAGAGGGUGGACGGUCACACUGUGACUGAGGCACGGCCCAGACUCCUACGGGAGGCAGCAGUGGGGAAUAUUGCACAAUGGGCGCAAGCCUGAUGCAGCGACGCCGCGUGAGGGAUGGAGGCCUUCGGGUUGUGAACCUCUUUCGCCAGUGAAGCAGGCCUGCCUCGUUUGUGGGUGGGUUGACGGUAGCUGGAUAAGAAGCGCCGGCUAACUACGUG